rnacentral:rRNA from 1 species
GUAGGUGGCAAGCGUUGUCCGGAAUUAUUGGGCGUAAAGCGCGCGCAGGCGGUCCUUUAAGUCUGAUGUGAAAGCCCACGGCUCAACCGUGGAGGGUCAUUGGAAACUGGGGGACUUGAGUACAGAAGAGGAAAGCGGAAUUCCAAGUGUAGCGGUGAAAUGCGUGGAGAUUUGGAGGAACACCAGUGGCGAAGGCGGUUUUCUGGUCUGUAACUGACGCUGAGGCGCGAAAGCGUGGGGAGCAAACAGGAUUAGAUACCCUGGUAGUCCACGCCGUAAACGAUGAGUGCUAAGUGUUAGGGGGUUUCCCGCCCCCUUAGUGCUGCAGCUAACGCAUUAAGCACUCCGCCUGGGGGAGUACGGCCGCAAGGCUG